rnacentral:rRNA from 1 species
AGUGAACGCUGGCGGCAGGCCUAACACAUGCAAGUCGAGCGGCAGCGGGUCCCCGCGAGGGGAUGCCGGCGAGCGGCGGACGGGUGAGGAACACAUCGGAAUCUGCCUGGUUGUGGGGGAUAACGUAGGGAAACUUACGCUAAUACCGCAUGCGACCCUGAGUCGACGGACUGGGGGUGAAAGUGAGGGACCUUCGGGCCUCACGCGACCAGAUGAGCCGAUGUCGGAUUAGCUAGUUGGCGGGGUAACGGCCGCCAAGGCGACGAUCCGUAGCUGGUCUGAGAGGAUGAUCAGCCACACUGGGACUGAGACACGGCCCAGACUCCUACGGGAGGCAGCAGUGGGGAAUCUUGGACAAUGGGCGCAAGCC